AGUCGGACGGUAGCACAGAGAGAUUGGUCUCCCGUGACGAGUGUGGGACAGGUGAGAUAUGUGUGGGGAUCUGUCCCAUAUAGGGGGAUAUCCCCUGUGAACGGUGGCUAUUACCGCAUAUCGUCUCACGACACAAGAGGGGGACCUUCUGGCCUCUCUCUAUCUGAUGAACCCCCAUGGGAUUAUAUAUUAUGCGGGGUAAUGUGCCACCUCUGCGACAAUACCUAUCUGGUCUGAGAGAAUAACACCCCACACUGUAACUGAGACACGGUCCACACUCUUAUAGGAGGCAGCACUGGGGAAUAUUGUGCAAUGUGCGCAAGCCUGAUACACCCAUGUCCCGUGUAUAAAAAAAGCCUUCUCGUUGUAAAGAACUUUCUCCGCGGAGAAAAGCGAUGUGAUUAAUAACCCCGCCGAUAGACAUUACCCCCACAAAAAACACCGGCUAUCUCUCUGUCACCACCCGCGGUAAUACAGAGAGUGCGAGCGUUAAUCUCAAUUACUGUGCGUAAAACGCACACACGCGCUCUGUGAAAUCACAUAUGAAAUCCCCGGGCUUUACCUGAACUGCAUUUGAAACUGGCAGGCUUGAGUCUUGUAGAGGGGGGUAGAAUUCCAGGUGUAGCGGUGAAAUGCGUAGAGAUCUGGAGGAAUACCGGUGGCGAAGGCGGCCCCCUGGACAAAGACUGACGCUCAGGUGCGAAAGCGUGGGGAGCAAACAGGAUUAGAUACCCUGGUAGUCCACGCCGUAAACGAUGUCGACUUGGAGGUUGUUCCCUUGAGGAGUGGCUUCCGGAGCUAACGCGUUAAGUCGACCGCCUGGGGAGUACGGCCGCAAGGUUAAAACUCAAAUGAAUUGACGGGGGCCCGCACAAGCGGUGGAGCAUGUGGUUUAAUUCGAUGCAACGCGAAGAACCUUACCUACUCUUGACAUCCACGGAAUCUGGCAGAGAUGCCUCAGUGCCUUCGGGAACCGUGAGACAGGUGCUGCAUGGCUGUCGUCAGCUCGUGUUGUGAAAUGUUGGGUUAAGUCCCGCAACGAGCGCAACCCUUAUCCUUUGUUGCCAGCGCGUCAUGGCGGGAACUCAAAGGAGACUGCCGGUGAUAAACCGGAGGAAGGUGGGGAUGACGUCAAGUCAUCAUGGCCCUUACGAGUAGGGCUACACACGUGCUACAAUGGCGCAUACAAAGAGAAGCGACCUCGCGAGAGCAAGCGGACCUCACAAAGUGCGUCGUAGUCCGGAUCGGAGUCUGCAACUCGACUCCGUGAAGUCGGAAUCGCUAGUAAUCGUGGAUCAGAAUGCCACGGUGAAUACGUUCCCGGGCCUUGUACACACCGCCCGUCACACCAUGGGAGUGGGUUGCAAAAGAAGUAGGUAGCUUAACCUUCGGGAGGGCGCUACC
rnacentral:rRNA from 1 species